UCUCUCUCUCUUUGUUGUUCUCUUCUCUUCUCUCCCUCUCCUAAGCAACACUUGCAGGGUUUUCCUUUCUAUUUCUUAGUCCAUGAAAAUCCUCCACACAACACUUGGCUUCUCCUAAGGCUAUUACCAAACUCACUCAUUGUGAUUUGGCAUGCCAUCUUUUCAGUUUCCUGUUAAUAGCUACUGGUUUUCAACAAAAGC
rnacentral:lncRNA from 1 species